rnacentral:lncRNA from 1 species
GGCGCAAACCCUGCGCGCCUUGGCCGAGUCACGCGACGCGAGUCCUGGGGUGCGCGCGCCGCUCCGGGGCGGGCUCUGCCUCACGAGGCGCGGGGCGCGGAGUGGCAAGAGCGCAGCAUGGGCUGCGCAGAACUGAGGCAGACACCCAGAGGCUGCCAAAUUGUCAUCUGAGCCGGACCGGGUUUCGGCGGCCGCGCUUUAUAGUCGCUGGAGCCUGGUGACCUAUUCCAGGGCUACAAGACUGCCUCGGCAAACAGCCCAAGGAUGUUCGGUUAUCUCGCCUUGAGGGUUCGCGCGUCACGUGCCCCCCCCGUCCCCCGCUUGUUUUUCAGUUUAAAAGUGGGGCCCGUGUCUGCAGGACUCUAGGAGCUGCGGGCCCACCCAUUCACUGAUGUUACCCUCUCCUGUCAUUUCUCCUUUGUGAAGGGCACUGAAAAUCUUGAGUUUUCUUGGGAAAGAGAAGACAUCAAACAGGCAUAUGAGGUAGAGGAUAAUAAAGAAUAUUACCUCCUUUUCAAGUACCUUGAUUUUUUUGAAGUUUUCUCGAAGUUGGUUUACCAGUUUCACAAUAACACAGAGCAACUAGAAGAUCAAAAUUCCUUGUAUGAGGGAAGAGUAUCUGUGGACCAGGCUGAAAUUUCUGAGGGGACUCUAUCACUUUUACUAAGAAAUGUGGAUUUCAUGGAUGAAGCUAUCUACAAGUGCUCAGCCAUCACACCAGAUGGAAGAGGUGAAAGUACAAUUAAGCUAAUAGUAGAAGGAUUGCAUGAAGAGCUUUUCCCCCAUCAGAGACUUUCAGGGAUUGGGGAAGGCAUGGCAGAAUUCCUCCAGGAUAAGAGUUGGAAGACAUGAGAAGGUGGUGGUUGUGAGAAUAAUUCGUUAUCUUCUGUGGUUCUCAGCAGGGUAUGUGGAGUUCAGUGGUGAAUCUGGAAUGAAUCCACUCAAAGAGGGGAAGAUUCCAAAAGAUAAAGGCAGCAGUGAUAGAUGAGAACUGAAAGGCAGGAGCAUACAUGUAUCCUGUUCUUCUCUUACUAUGCUUGGAUCAAAAUUUUAACUACAGUGAAUCUCAAGAUAUAUUGCCUACAUAACGGGUUAAUGUAAAAAGCGAGAGCAUGUAUUCUGCUAGCCUGAGCCUCUUGGGGCUGAAAUAAAAAAGGAACUAAUUGUUUUGUUAUUUUUUCCAAUCAGACUCUGAAAUGCCCCAGGUGCAAUUUGACAGGAUUGAUGAUGAGGAUGUGGCCACAUGCAUCUCAAAGGACUAGUACCUCACGCCCAUUGUGACAUGGCUGGACCGGACAGAGAGGGACCUGAGCAACCACAGCAUCGUGGAAAUCCUGGAGGAGCAGAUGAAUGGCUUCUACAGGGUGUUCUCCAUCCUGAAAUACCCUGUCAAGUUAAAUGAGAAAUAUCUCUGCCACAUAACAGAGACAGAUGUGAACAACCAGCUCUUCAGAAUCAUCCACAAGUAUCCAAGGGGAUGAAGAAUGCUUUUAUAAAGAGAAUGAAAUCAUUGGCACUGCCUGCUGAUGGGUGGCUCCGCAAGGUACCACAUUGGCCUUGGCCACUGUCCUCUGGCUCCCGACAUCAGG